UGGGGAAUAUUGCACAAUGGGCGCAAGCCUGAUGCAGCCAUGCCGCGUGUAUGAAGAAGGCCUUCGGGUUGUAAAGUACUUUCAGCGGGGAGGAAGGGAGUAAAGUUAAUACCUUUGCUCAUUGACGUUACCCGCAGAAGAAGCACCGGCUAACUCCGUGCCAGCAGCCGCGGUAAUACGGAGGGAGCAAGCGUUAAUCGGAAUUACUGGGCGUAAAGCGCACGCAGGCGGUUUGUUAAGUCAGAUGUGAAAUCCCCGGGCUCAACCUGGGAACUGCAUCUGAUACUGGCAAGCUUGAGUCUCGUAGAGGGGGGUAGAAUUCCAGGUGUAGCGGUGAAAUGCGUAGAGAUCUGGAGGAAUACCGGUGGCGAAGGCGGCCCCCUGGACGAAGACUGACGCUCAGGUGCGAAAGCGUGGGGAGCAAACA
rnacentral:rRNA from 1 species